rnacentral:rRNA from 1 species
AUCAUUCAGUUGGGCACGUCUAGCGAGACUGCCGGUAAUAACCGGAGGAAGGUGGGAUGACGUCAAAUCAUCAUGCCCCUUAUGACCUGGGCUACACACGUGCUACAAUGGUUGGUACAACGAGUUGCGAGUCGGUGACGGCGAGCUAAUCUCUUAAAGACCAAUCUCAGUUCGGAUUGUAGGCUGCAACUCGCCUACAUGAAGUCGGAAUCGCUAGUAAUCGCGGAUCAGCAUGCCGCGGUGAAUACGUUCCCGGGCCUU